CUUUAUUGAUGACCUCUCAUUUGUGUCACUGUGUCUGGGUCAUAGAAGCCUUUUGAUGGAGCCUAAGAG
rnacentral:snoRNA from 1 species